GUUAUGUAAGACAUCAUAAUCCGCUGUUACUAUGGUUACCACAGCCCUAACUGACUUUGGUGGUGCUUCAAGAAAGCACCUAUAGCGGAGUGGAGCAGAGAAAGCAGAGCGUUUGUGCCAAAUGCCAGCGGCAAGUCACAACACACAACCACAGGGACGGAGUAUUACAAUUGCAGCCAUCUAAAGGGGACGUGAAGAAACUCUGGCGAUCCUCUUGUGGUUUUUCCUUGUUGUCUCCAGGAUCCCAACUCCAUACUCUGAAUCCACGAUCCAAUAUCCACUAUCUGGAAAUCUCUCUGGACUGUUGCCACUGCCAUUAUUCUCACCUGCCAUCCACUCUGAUUUAAGACUGUUCAAUAAACCCUUUUUAUUUUACUAAACUCCCGUCUCU
ensembl:lncRNA